GAUGAACGCUGGCGGCGUGCUUAACACAUGCAAGUCGAACGGUGAAGGCGGAGCUUGCUCUGCUGGAUCAGUGGCGAACGGGUGAGUAACACGUGAGCAAUCUGCCCCUGACUCUGGGGGAAGCGCUGGAAACGGCGUCUAAUACUGGAUACGAGCUGCGACGGCAUCUUCAGCAGCUGGAAAGAACUUCGGUCAGGGAUGAGCUAGCGGCCUAUCAGCUUGUUGGUGAGGUAACGGCUCACCAAGGCGUCGCCGGGUAGCCGGCCUGCGAGGGUGACAGGCCACACUGGGACUGAGACACGGCACAGACUCGUACGGGAGGCAGCAGUGGAGAAUAUUGCACAAUGGGCGAAAGCCAGAUGCAGCAACGCCGCGUGGGGGACGACGUCCUUCGGGUUGUAAACCACUUUUAGCAGGGAAGAAGCGAAAGUGACGGUACCUGCAGAAAAAGCGCCGGCUAACUACGUG
rnacentral:rRNA from 1 species